UAAAGUCACACUGAAGUAAGACACUAUCAUACUUCAAUAGACAUUUUUAGAAUGUUAAAUGCAGGUAAAUCUUAAACCAUGCUGUUCAUUGUAUUAUAUUUUAAGUGCCGGAGAUAAAAUGAAGAGCUCUCUCAGAUUUAAUCAUUAGAAAAUACAAUAGCAAGUACAGUAAAAAAGAAUCACAUUCUUGUUUUUUUCAGAUGACACUGCAUCUCUUUCAAGUGUGAGAACAGCCAAUUCCCAGAAGCUAGCAGAAAUUAAUAUUAUCUGUUCAUAGCUAUACCCUCUUCCUUAUAAGCAACUCCCACAAAUGAAACAGCUGUGCGGGAUGGCCUCCAUUCUACCAAUCCACAACCCCAGAUAUCUAUAACUAUCACCCCUUACCAAAGAGGCUUCUGUGUCCAGCAAAUGAAGAUGACAACUGAACACAAUGCCAAGAUCAAGAGAUGAGGGGAAUCCCAGACUCAAGUGAUACACCACAGCCCCUGCCUCUGUGGUUCAAAGAGGAGCACAGAGGAGGCAGCAGAAUGAUUGGAAAUAAGUAAGGAAAAAUUGUAGAGAAGAAAAAUGAAGGAAAGUAAACACUCAUGGCACCAUGAGCUCUCCACAUAGAAUCUACAUGAAUCUACCAGGCAAUGUCUGUAUUUGCUGAGGAUAAAAAGAGAACAAGGUAUUAAAGGUACAGUAAGGCCUGAUCAUCAUGAAAAUGGGGGGACAGAAUGAGUUACUCCUCCUGAGUAUAGCUUGUUAAAGGAAAUAAAACAUAAAAGUCAGUGCAGAGUCAAUCUUCAUCAGCAUAGAGCAUAUAACCAUGACUCCGAGCCUAGGAUGUUCUGUUUUAUACUGUAGUAUAGUUGUACAAGUUUGAAGAACCACUGAAGAAGUGAUGCUUCACAUUUAGGAAGCAUAGGAUAUAUGAAAGAAGCCAUGGAGGAACAGAAUUAAAUCUUAGACAGUUUCAUCUGCUCUGGUAUGCGUAUUAUUUAACACAGGACAAAGCUACCGAAUUCCAGUGAAUGGAGAUUAAGAACUCCAACAUUGGCAAAAUAAAUUUACGGGAAGUCAAAAGAAUUUGAGAAGUUCAAGUAUUCUUUAUUUAAGGAAAAGUACAGACAUACACAGCUUCUUGAGAAGCUGAGUCUUAAUUGCCCUGCAGUAUAUGAAAUCAUUUAAUAUUAGAUAAAAUUGGACCUAGACUUUCUUGCAGCCCCUGUAUAUAAAGAAAUUGCCAAUUCUAAAGCCAGGAGGCAGUUAAAAUUUAGACAUGAGGGAGGCAUAAUUGCUUAAAGGAAAACAGACUGAGAAGGAAGAUUAAGGCUUUAGACAAGACAGGAAAUAUAAAGAUGAUAAAGAUAAAUUGUUAUAAUUAAGACCAAGAGUUACACAACAAAAGUAUUGGUUAUUCAGGAUCUUUACAUUGUUUUGGUAGGACUUUAGUAUCAAUCAUGAUUUCUGUCUUGUUUCCCGGGUCUUACUGCUACCAGUUUAUAAAAUGAAUGUAGUUAUAUUUGUACCUCACAGCCAAACAUAGGUUUCACCCCUUAUCAAAGAAAUGUUUCUUGAAAAAUAAAAAGCUCACUACAGAAAACUUGAACAGAACAAAAUGGAGAGCACAUGGCCAUCUGGUGCUCAGCCUAUAUUGAUAUAUCUAUGGUACAAUUCCUGCACUUAAGGCUCAAGGAUCAGAGUGGGAAGGAGGCAGAAUGAUUUCUAAAACCCAGAGGAGUACAGAACAAACUGUGAUACAACAUAUCCUAGAGUUGUCAGAGAAGACACUCGUGCAAUGUCUUCUGGCAUACAUAUCUAAACAAAACCC
rnacentral:sRNA from 1 species